GUGGCUGAGAUCCGGGUUGAGAUGGAGCUUCGCGAUGAGAUUUUGCCCAGAGCCCAAAAAUAUCCAGAGUCGUCUGGACCGGCAGACCAUUGAGACAGAGGAGGUGAACAAGACGCUGAAGGCAACACUGCAGGCUCUGUUGGAGGUGGUGACAUCCGACGAUGUAGACAUGCUGGACUCUUUCCAGGCCAGCCCUCCACUGAGUCCCUCAAGUCCACUAGCUCAGACCCAGGCACCCGGCAGGCAGGCCGGAGACGGGGCCAGCAGCAGGAAACGGAGACCUUCUACAUCACGAAGCUCCAGGAAUAUCUGAGCGGCCGGAGCAUCCUUGCCAAGCUGCAGGCUAAGCAUGAGAUGCUGCAGGAGGCCAUACAAAGAGGUGGGUCCUAGUCCUGGCCUGCCCCUUCUUCCUCUCCUAGGGCCAGGCUCUGCACCUGCCCUCCUCUGCCUGGCCCAGACUCUGACCUGGCCCGUGUUCCCCUGCCAGAGAGGUUGUUUGACAUGAAGGAACUAAUCUAACAAGAGUCUCGGCCUUUCUCCUGCCCUUGGCCCCGGGCAUUUGAGCCACACUCCCCUCUUUGGGGUUCAUUGAGACCCACCCCCUCGCCUGAAAGGCAGGCCAACAUUUUCUCCUGUACAGGUGACAAGGAGGAGCAGGAGAUGUCUUGGUGAGUCCUUCACGAUGUGCUGGCUUGUUCGGAAGUCCCUCAUCUCUCUGUCCUCAGUGCCCAGCUCUGCCACCCAGUCCCCUGUGUCCUCAACAUCCCAUUUUGUCCAAUGGAUUCUGGAUAACUUGGAAGGUCCAGGGCCCAGUUUGGCUGGGCUGGGGGUGGGGCUUCCUUUUCUCCUGUGCCUCCCCUCAGAGCCGCAUCUCAUUUACUGCAGGACGCAGUACACACAGAGAAAAUUGCAGAAGAGUCGUCAGCCCCGCCCAGUUCUCAGUACAACCAGAGACUCUUUGGAGGAGACCUGGAGAAGUUUAUUCAGAGCUCAGGCCAACCUGUGCCCCUGGUGGUGGAGAGCUGUAUCCGCUUCAUUAACCUCAACGGCCUGCAGCAUGAGGGCAUCUUCCGUAUAUCAGGUGCCCAGCCCCGAAUCUCAGAGAUCCGAGAAUGCCUUCGAGAGAGGUGGGGACAGGCAGGUGGGGGUGGCUGUUUGGGGCUCUGCAGACACAGUUGGCCUCCUCACCCCGCCAUGUUGCUCACCUGACUGCCCGCAGGGGAGGACCCUCUGGUGGAGGGCUGCACGCCCACGACCUCGACUCAGUGGCUGGCGUGCUGAAGCUCUACUUCCGGAGCCUGGACCCCCAUCUUCCCCCCAGACCUGUUUAAUGAACUGCUGGCUUCUGCAGAGCUGGAGGCUGUGGUGGAACGGGUGGAACCUGUGAGCCAGCUGCUGACCCGACUGCCUGGACCGGUGCUGGUGGUCCUGCGCUACCUUUUUGCCUUCCUCAACCAGUGAGUGCUUCUGGGAGACAAGCUGGCAGUGGGGGGUGGAGGGGACAGCAGCGCUAUAGCUGUGACCCUCAUGUGACCCCCAUGUCCCCCAGCCUGGCCCAGUAAGUGACGAGAACAUGAUGGACCCCUACAACUUGGCCGUGUGCUUCGGGCCGACGUUGCUGCCUGUGCCUGCUGGGCAGGACCCCGUGGCCUUGCAGGGCCGGGUGAACCAGCUGGUGCAGACGCUCAUCCUGCAGCCGAUACGGGUUUUCCCAUCCCUAGCUGCACUGCCAGGCCCUGUCUAUGAGGAAGUGCAUGGCACACCUUCCGCCAGCUGUCUGGGGUAUGCUCUUGGUGCUGCCUGGGGGGUCCAGUGGAGGGGAAUCCCCCUCACUGCCUCACUCUGCUCUGAACAUCAGGGACACGCAGCUGGAGAGCCUUGCAGGGGAGAAUGAGCCAGAGCUGGAAGCUGGGAGCACCGCUCAUGAGGAUGGUGAGGUGCUGGAGAAGCUCUACCUUGUACCCUCUCUGGGUGCCCACUGCAUUGCCAGUCUGACCUCUCUUCUCCGCAGAUCUGGAUGGGGGGGUCGUGGAGGCUGUGGCCUGCUUUGGCCUACACUGGCCGCACAGCCCAGGAGCUGACAUUCCAGCGAGGGGACGUGCUGCGGCUGCAUGCUCGGGCAUCGAGUGACUGGUGGCGUGGGGAGCAUGCCGGCGUGCGAGGACUCAUUCCACACAAGUACAUCGCACUGCCUGAGGGGUGAGUGAACUGUGGCCUCGGCCCUCCUCAGGGCUUACAGCCGUCCUUCAGCCCAUCCUGUGCGCCGAGUCUCCAACCUACCUCUUUAA
ensembl:lncRNA